rnacentral:lncRNA from 1 species
AUUUCUGCAGUGCUCCUGAAGCCAACUUAACAGAGACUGUUCUAUUGAAAGCUUUCUGAAAUCAUCCUUAAAUUAUGCUGCAUAAUCUCUUGAAAUUAAGUCAAUGGCAAAAUCCAAAUGUAAGUUUAAUUUGGCACCUUCCACUUAACUGAUUCCCAGUGUAUAAAAAACGCUUCAGUUAAGUACUUAAGAUGACAUUUAAUUGGUCCUGAGCCUCGUACUACUAUGUGUAAAAAUCUCUGUACUCUUCAAAAACUUUAAUCACUGUCUUUCAGGCAGGGUUAGGCUUCUUAGGUAUAUAAAAGCUUUAAAGCGGGACAGACCAAGAAAUUUGUUCCAAACUACACAGCUGUCCUCCGUGCUUCUUCAUACCUCUUGGAUAACAGUUCUUGCACUUCUGCCAUUUGCUGAUGGACCCAGAAGCAUGUGAACCUGCCCAUCUGAUUUCAAUAGUCUUUUCCUAAUCUGUCUAUUCAGCAGCAAGACAGUGAAGAAAGAAUCUCACAGAAGAAAGGCACUGGGAUUUUUGGACAGUAUGUUAUGGUCUAGCUCCAUGACUGGGACCCUUGUGUGCUGCUGCAGUAAAAAGAACUGAUAGUAACAAAACAAAGAGCCAGCUCCAUGGUUCUGCCUCCGUUCAUCCAUCUCACAUUUGAUUAGUCCCUGCUUGACAUCGGGCUGGGAGCAAUAAGCUCUGAUCCUAACAGUGAAUGUGGCAUCAAGCCCGAGAGCUCCAUGUGUCACUCCAGAACCAGAUACUGUCUCACUGGAUUCCUCCAUAGAACAACUGAGGCAGAUGUGUGGAUGACAGAUUCGUCUUUCGGGUCUACCUACCACACCCACCAAGGACUGCUGAAUUGUGGUAUAAGGUCAGGCCCGUGGUCACUCUCUUCUGACACUAGCAAGUGACCACAUCCCUCUCAGCUCGAGUGUGAACAUCGCUUCUUAAGAACGAUACCAAAGUCAGCGUCUGUUUCCUCAGUUUCUUCCUGUUCUUCCUUGGGCAUCCCAACAGUGACCUUGAGCUUCAGUACGUGCAGACGAACACCUGCUACUCGGUAAGUCUGUGUUUAGAUGAAACUGCAUCACCCCUGUAGCAAAGUCAGAAUUAAGGCUCAACAGUUGCAUACUAAGA